GAUGAACGCUAGCGGGAGGCUUAACACAUGCAAGUCGAGGGGCAGCACGAGGUAGCAAUACUUUGGUGGCGACCGGCGCACGGGUGAGUAACGCGUAUGCAACCUACCCUGUACAGGGGGAUAGCCCGGAGAAAUUCAGAUUAAUACCCCAUAAUGAUAUUAAGAGGCGUCUCUAUAUAUUUAAAGUUUCGACGGUACGGGAUGGGCAUGCGUGACAUUAGCUAGUUGGUAGGGUAACGGCCUACCAAGGCUGCGAUGUCUAGGGGUCCUGAGAGGGUGAUCCCCCACACUGGUACUGAGACACGGACCAGACUCCUACGGGAGGCAGCAGUGAGGAAUAUUGGUCAAUGGGCGUAAGCCUGAACCAGCCAUCCCGCGUGAAGGAAGACGGCGCUAUGCGUUGUAAACUUCUUUUCCGGAGGAAUAAAAUUUCGUACGAGUACGGGACUGAAGGUACUCCGGGAAUAAGCAUCGGCUAACUCCGUGCCAGCCGCCGCAGUAAAAC
rnacentral:rRNA from 1 species